CAAUAGCGUAUAUUAAAGUUGUUGCAGUUAAAAAGCUCGUAGUUGGAUUUUUAGGAUGGUACUUAGAUUUCAAUUUCUCACUUCCUUUUAUGGUUUGUGUUAAAUUUUCUAUACUAUUUUAUAUUUAUAAUCUCUGUUGUUGAAUUAUUUUCUUUCGAGUGAUUAAUUUCGUCUUGUUGGGUAGAUAAUUCUCAACGCUUAGGGGGUUAUAUCAUUUACUGUGAAAAAAUCAGCGCGUUCAAAGCAGGCUUUAUGCUCUCUGAAUGUCUCAGCAUGGAAUAAUAAGAUAAGUCUUUUCUUUAUUUUGUUGGUUUGCGAAGAGAAGAAAUGAUUAACAGGGACAGUUGGGGGUAUUCGUAUUGGGAUGUCAGAGGUGAAAUUCAUAGAUUUUCUCAAGACGAACUACUGCGAAAGCAUUUACCAAGGAUGUUUUCAUUAAUCAAGAACGAAAGUUUGGGGAUCGAAGAUGAUCAGAUACCGU
rnacentral:rRNA from 1 species